GUGCCUGCUUCAACAGCACAUAUACUAAAGCCAGAAGUAUGCAGAAAGAUUAGCAUGGUCCCUGCACAAGGACACACAAAUUCAUGAAGCAGAAUAGUAAUAA
rfam:Erinaceus europaeus unplaced genomic scaffold scaffold00973, whole genome shotgun sequence